GAUGAACGCCAGCGGCAGGCUUAAUACAUGCAAGUCGAGGGGCAGCGGGACCUAGCAAUAGGUUGCCGGCGACCGGCAAACGGGUGCGGAACACGUACAGAACCUUCCUCAGAGCGGGGGAUAGCCCAGAGAAAUUUGGAUUAAUACCCCAUAGUAUUACGGGAUGGCAUCAUUUUGUAAUUAAAGAUUUAUCACUCUGAGAUGGCUGUGCGUCUGAUUAGGUAGUUGGCGGGGUAAUGGCCCACCAAGCCUUCGAUCAGUAACUGGUGUGAGAGCACGAACAGGCAAACGGGCACUGAGACACGGGCCCGACUCCUACGGGAGGCAGCAGUAAGGAAUAUUGGUCAAUGGACGCAAGUCUGAACCAGCCAUGCCGCGUGGAGGAUGAAGGUCCUCUGGAUUGUAAACUUCUUUUAUUGGGGAAGAAAUGCAGGUUUUCUAACUUGCUUGACGGUACUCAAUGAAUAAGCACCGGCUAACUCCGUGCCAGCCGCCGCCGUAAUAC
rnacentral:rRNA from 1 species